CGCGUUGACACAGGGGGAAGAGCCGAUGCUGGUCCGCACCUCGGCGCCUUUCCGGGGCAGUGUCUCCUGCUCAGGACUCCUUCUGCGUGGAUGGCCGAGUCUGAAACCUCGCGUCUGCUGCACACUCAGUAUGCGGCCGCUACGCUGCGGGAAGAGAAGGAGGCGACGCACGGCGUGCCCCCCUCUCUUUCGGGAGAGAUGGUUCGCCCCGCGUGAGGCGCCAGGAGCAUUGCGGCGGCCGCGGCUGCUGAGGGAGCUGCGUUGGAGGUUGUGCUUAUUGGCGGUGCCUGUCUUCGAAAUCGGGCACUUAUCUCUAAUGAAAGCAAUGGAAGUUGGUCAGUGGCCGGAGCAUGCACCAACAUGACCAAAAGGUGUCCCAAGGGCAUGGUUUCUAGUGUGUUUUGCUGGAAGUUCGGGAUCUCCCAGAAUAGCCCUGUGUGCUGAAAGUCUCUGAGCAUGAGAAGGGCAUGUGGGAAGAAGCCACCAAGUGCUGAUUGCACAGCUGAGAAAAUAUAACUAAUCUUCAGUGAAGUGAUGAAACUCCUCCAGGUUGGCCGUAAUGCUCUUGAAAGUAAUAAAAUCAGAAAGUUUCAUCAAUGAAAUGUGAGAAUCUGCUUGAGUAGCACCGAUGCACUGAAUCCUUUACCACUGCUGCUGGUAGGAAGUGAGCCUGUGAAAUCCAUCCACACCUUCUGCACACUUUUGCAGGGCUGAAGAGUAAGGAAGAAUUGUUAGAACCAGCCUGGGAGCAAUCCCUGUCCAUUGAAACACUCCUCCCUAAGAAGCAAAAAACUGUUUAAAAGGUGGUCUAUUAAGCCUUCAUAUAGUAAGACAAAGUGCAUUUAACUGCAUUGUGGCAGUGUCUGGUAAUGUUUAUAUAGACAAAAAUUAAAAAUUUUAUUUUCUCUUCUCAGAA